ACUCCUACGGGAGGCAGCAGUGGGGAAUAUUGCACAAUGGGCGCAAGCCUGAUGCAGCCAUGCCGCGUGUGUGAAGAAGGCCUUCGGGUUGUAAAGCACUUUCAGUCGUGAGGAAGGUAGUGUAGUUAAUAGCUGCAUUAUUUGACGUUAGCGACAGAAGAAGCACCGGCUAACUCCGUGCCAGCAGCCGCGGUAAUACGGAGGGUGCGAGCGUUAAUCGGAAUUACUGGGCGUAAAGCGCAUGCAGGUGGUUUGUUAAGUCAGAUGUGAAAGCCCGGGGCUCAACCUCGGAAUUGCAUUUGAAACUGGCAGACUAGAGUACUGUAGAGGGGGGUAGAAUUUCAGGUGUAGCGGUGAAAUGCGUAGAGAUCUGAAGGAAUACCGGUGGCGAAGGCGGCCCCCUGGACAGAUACUGACACUCAGAUGCGAAAGCGUGGGGAGCAAACAGGAUUAGAUACCCUGGUAGCACAGAG
rnacentral:rRNA from 1 species